rnacentral:rRNA from 1 species
AAGAGCUCGUAGGUGGUUUGUCGUGUUGUUCGUGAAAUCUCACGGCUUAACUGUGAGCGUGCGGGCGAUACGGGCAGACUUGAGUACUGCAGGGGAGACUGGAAUUCCUGGUGUAGCGGUGGAAUGCGCAGAUAUCAGGAGGGACACCGGUGGCGAAUGCGGGUCUCUGGGCAGUAACUGACGCUGAGGAGCGAAAGCGUGGGGAGCGAACAGGAUUAGAUACCCUGGUAGUCCACGCCGUAAACGGUGGGUACUAGGUGUGGGUUUCCUUCCUUGGGAUCCGUGCCGUAGCUAACGCAUUAAGUACCCCGCCUGGGGAGUACGGCCGCAAGGCUAAAACUCAAAGAAAUUGACGGGGGCCCGCACAAGCGGCGGAGCAUGUGGAUUAAUUCGAUGCAACGCGAAGAACCUUACCUGGGUUUGACAUGCACAGGACGCCGGCAGAGAUGUCGGUUCCCUUGUGGCCUGUGUGCAGGUGGUGCAUGGCUGUCGUCAGCUCGUGUCGUGAGAUGUUGGGUUAAGUCCCGCAACGAGCGCAACCCUUGUCUCAUGUUGCCAGCGGGUAAUGCCGGGGACUCGUGAGAGACUGCCGGGGUCAACUCGGAGGAAGGUGGGGAUGACGUCAAGUCAUCAUGCCCCUUAUGUCCAGGGCUUCACACAUGCUACAAUGGCCGGUACAAAGGGCUGCGAUGCCGCGAGGUUAAGCGAAUCCUUUUAAAGCCGGUCUCAGUUCGGAUCGGGGUCUGCAACUCGACCCCGUGAAGUCGGAGUCGCUAGUAAU